AUUGAACGCUGGCGGCAGGCUUAACACAUGCAAGUCGAGCGGAGAUGAGGUGCUUGCACCUUAUCUUAGCGGCGGACGGGUGAGUAAUGCUUAGGAAUCUGCCUAUUAGUGGGGGACAACAUUCCGAAAGGAAUGCUAAUACCGCAUACGACCUACGGGAGAAAGCAGGGGAUCUUCGGGCCUUGCGCUAAUAGAUGAGCCUAAGUCGGAGUAGCUAGUUGGUGGGGUAAAGGCCUACCAAGGCGACGAUCUGUAGCGGGUCUGAGAGGAUGAUCCGCCACACUGGGACUGAGACACGGCCCAGACUCCUACGGGAGGCAGCAGUGGGGAAUAUUGGACAAUGGGGGGAACCCUGAUCCAGCCAUGCCGCGUGUGUGAAGAAGGCCUUAUGGUUGUAAAGCACUUUAAGCGAGGAGGAGGCUACUGAGACUAAUACUCUUGGAUAGUGGACGUUACUCGCAGAAUAAGCACCGGCUAACUCUGUGCCAGCAGCCGCCGUAAGAC
rnacentral:rRNA from 1 species